CCUACGGGUGGCAGCAGUGAGGAAUAUUGGUCAAUGGCCGGAAGGCUGAACCAGCCAAGCCGCGUGAGGGAGGACGGCGCAGAGCGUCGCAGACCUCUUUUGCCGGGGGACAAACGGCCGGACGGGUCCGGUUCUGAGGGUACCCGGAGAAAAAGCAUCGUCUAACUCCGUGCCAGCAGCCGCGGUAAUACGGAGGAUGCGAGCGUUAUCCGGAUUCAUGGGGUUUAAAGGGUGCGCAGGCGGGCCGUUAAGCCGGCGGUGAAAUCGCGGGGCUCAACCCCGCCGAGCCGUCGGAACUGGGGGCCUUGAGGGCGGCGGAGGCAUGCGGAAUGCGCGGUGUAGCGGUGAAAGGCAUAGAUAUCGCGCAGAACCCCGAUUGCGAAGGCAGCGUGCCGUGCCGCCACUGACGCUGAGGCACGAAAGCGCGGGGAUCGAACAGGAUUAGAUACCCUAGUAGUC
rnacentral:rRNA from 1 species